UCCGGUUGAUCCCGCCGGACCUGACUGCUAUCGGAUUGAUACUAAGCCAUGCGAGUCUUUGUAGUAAUACAAGGCAGACGGCUCAGUAACGCGUAGUCAACCUACCCUAUGGACGGGAAUAAUCUCGGGAAACUGAGCAUAAUACCCGGCGUACCAUCAUUCCUGGAAUGGUUGGUGGUUAAAAUGAUUCGUCGCCGUAGGAUGGGACUGCGACCUAUCAGCUUGUUGGUGAGGUAAAGGCCCACCAAGGCGAUUACAGGUACGGGCUCUGAGAGGAGAAGCCCGGAGAUGGGUACUGAGACACGGACCCAGGCCCUAUGGGGCGCAGCAGGCGAGAAAACUUUGCAAUGUGCGAAAGCACGACAAGGUUAAUCCGAGUGAUUUCUGCUAAAGGAAUCUUUUGCCAGUUCUAAAAAUACUAGUGAAUAAGGGGUGGGCAAGUUCUGGUGUCAGCCGCCGCGGUAAAACCAGCACCUCAAGUGGUCAGGAGGAUUAUUGGGCCUAAAGCAUCCGUAGCCUGCUCUGUAAGUUUUCGGUUAAAUCUAUAUGCUCAACGUAUAGGCUGCCGAAAAUACUGCAGUGCUAGGAAGUGGGAGAGGUAGACGGUACUUGAUAGGAAGGGGUAAAAUCCUUUGAUCUAUCGAUGACCACCUGUGGCGAAGGCGGUCUACCAGAACACGUUCGACGGUGAGGGAUGAAAGCUGGGGGAGCAAACCGGAUUAGAUACCCGGGUAGUCCCAGCUGUAAACGAUGCAGACUCGAUGAUGCAUUGGCAUAUAGCCAGUGCAGUGUCGCAGGGAAGCCGUUAAGUCUGCCGCCUGGGAAGUACGUACGCAAGUAUGAAACUUAAAGGAAUUGGCGGGGGAGCACCACAAGGGGUGAAGCCUGCGGUUCAAUUGGAUUCAACGCCGGA
rnacentral:rRNA from 1 species